rnacentral:rRNA from 2 species
UACGGCGGUCAUAGCGUGGGGGAAACGCCCGGUCCCAUUCCGAACCCGGAAGCUAAGGCCCACAGCGCCGAUGGUACUGCAUCCGGGAGGAUGUGGGAGAGUAGGACGCCGCCGGAC